GCGGGGAUAGCUCAGUUGGGAGAGCGUCAGACUGAAGAACAACUUCAUUCCUGAAAUCUGAAGGUCGUGCGUUCGAUCCGCACUCACCGCA
rnacentral:tRNA from 1 species